rnacentral:lncRNA from 1 species
GGGAAUCGAUGCAGGACCGAAGGGGCCGAGCUGGGCGCGAAAAAGAAAGAGAGAGAGCAGAGCCGGUGAACAGACGCGGUGAGAAGAAGAAGAAGCGCCGCUGAGCUAGGGCUUGCAGUUAUUUUGUUCGUUUUUCUUUUAUGUUGUAUUUUUAUUUUUUAUUUUAAUAUAAACAAUCACUUGAUUUGGAAUAGUGGGCUUUUUGCUUUAUAUAAUUUUUAUUUGGCUUUAUGUUUUUUUUAAAAAAAAAAAUUGGAGAGAUAUAUUAAAUCAUUGUCAAGAACAAGUGUCCCUAACCAUCUAGGGAGAUCCUCAGUCCAAAC